rnacentral:rRNA from 1 species
UACGUAGGUGGCAAGCGUUGUCCGGAUUUACUGGGCGUAAAGGGCGUGCAGGCGGUCUGUUAAGUCUAGGGUGAAAGCUCCCGGCUCAACUGGGAGAGGUCCUUGGAUACUGGCGGACUUGAGGGAGGCAGAGGAAAGUGGAAUUCCCGGUGUAGUGGUGAUAUGCGUAGAUAUCGGGAGGGACACCAGUGGCGAAGGCGGCUUUCUGGGCCUUACCUGACGCUGAGACGCGAAAGCGUGGGGAGCGAACCGG